AAAGCACUGGUUCUCAUCUGAUCACUGGAGUUAAGCAACACUGAGCCUGGUCAGUACCUAGAUGAGUGAGUGCUUGGGAAUACCAGGUGCUC